ensembl:lncRNA
AUGAAACAUUUAGUGAGAAACCAUAUAAAGACAAUUAAUUUGAGUUUCCCCCCAUCUCUGUUCAGAUGUGAAUUGGAGGCAUGGAGAAGAGUCCAAGGGGAGAAAAUUUGUUCCAAUGAAGAUUUGAUGAAGGCAAAGAAGCUGCAACACCUUUCAGACCUUUGGGCUCACACCAUUAAUACCUCUGAUCUUGAAGACAAACGACAAUUUGGGUUCAGCAGAGCAAGCAUUAGAUUUCCCUGUGCAGACCGUGUUGUGAUUCAAUGGCCGUUACUUGUCUGCAGGCAAUGGAGUGGCUCUAGAGAAGGACACACAUCUUGUAGCAAUGCAUCUGACUCAGAUGUGCAGAUUGAAUAUGUUUCACUUGAUGGUGUUGGAAGUGAAGAGCUAAGUUGCUCAUCCAUGUCACACUGCCCAACAUGCGUCCAUGGGCCAGAUGCAUGA